rnacentral:lncRNA from 1 species
GUAAAUAUUGCCCUAGUGGGAACUAUCUUUGGUGGCCUUCACCCCUCAGUUCUUCUGGGCAUUGCCCUAGUGGAGACACUCUGUGGCAGCCCCACCCCUGCAGCAAGUCUCUGCCAAGCCCCCGAGGCUAUCUGAAAUAUCCUGUGAAAUCUAGGUGGAAGUAAAGAUGCCCCCACAGUUCUUGCACUCUGCGAACCUGCAGAAUUAGCACCAACAGGACACUGCCAAGGUUUAUGACUUGUGCCUUCUGGAGCAGCAGCCUAAGCCACACAUGCACCUGCUUGAACCACAGCUGGGGCAGCUGAGGAGAGCUGCACCAGAAUUUGGGGAAUAGGGACUUCAGACAGCCCUGGGCCAUUGGGAGACACACUUCUGAACACCACCACUGGAAAAUCACACAUGCUGAAAUGGGAGAGUUCCCUGACCCCCUUGCAGGAUAUGUGACAGGAGUGUGGCUCAUCUGUUCAGCUGGAGUGCAUACUCAAACCCCUUAUGAGACAAGGAGUAUGCAGACAGAAGGUGCAGGAACUGGGAAGCAAAAUAUAAACUAGUUAAUUUGAUCUCCAAGAGUUAAGCGGUUUUAAUAUUACUGACAGUAAUAUCAGCAGUGGUGUUGGAACCCCAUGAUCUCAUGAAUCAUAGAUAGCAACUGCUUACUGGACAUUGAAGCUUUAUGGCCAGCUGCCAAAAAAAUAAAUGCACCUUAAUUUUUAAAUUGAAUUAUAAAGCCAAAAAUAUCCUAUUGCUCUAUUCCUCUUAUUUUGGUGUUUACAUGUGACUUUAUAAUUUCCUUCACUUGAAAGAUUUUAACUUUAAAGGAAACUUUACUCUGAACGUUUAGGACAAUUCAUAGAUAAUCAAAUUGAUUAUCAUGUUUUCAAUGUUAAAUAUUACUUCAUAUGUCUUUUUACAACCUUCAGAAUAAGAAAGCCAGCUAUGAAAUACCAAGUCUUGACUAGUAGUGCCACCUAGCAUCACAAAGAAAAAGUUGUUCAACUACUUUGCAAAGCAUUGGAAAUUUAUCAAAUCAUCUAAUAUACUAUCUCCUUGAUCCUUAAUCCAGAGGAAAAUAAGCAGACAUGAUCAAUUAGAAGAAAUGUACACAAAACCUAUGUAAUUUUAGAGAUAGUAUACUACAUAUUAUGAAUGUUUGUGUUUUAGUAAGAUGUAGUUAUGAGAUGUAGCAGUAAGAUAUAAUUUCUGGUUUGCUGACUGAUAUGCUACCGGUUUUUCCUACAAUUUAAGAAAACAUAUUGGGAUUCAAAUGAAUAAAAAUAAUGUUUGUGUACUGAAAUAUUGGCUAUGACCUAAUUUAUAGAAUAAAAAGUAAGUCAUUCACAACUAUCAGUAUUUUGAAUAAUGUGGCAACCAACAACUGAUUGAGAUUUGUUAGUGUUUUGAGUAAUGAAUUUAGAAACUUUGGAAUAUAAUAUAAUGCUAACAAAGAUAUCACAGGCUCAAUCCUGGAUGGAACUGAGGACAGCUAUUCCAACCAUCUCAGUUAAGAUGCUUCUUAUUGGCGAUAAGUGAAUAAUAAGAGAGUAGAUGGCUCAUACCAGACCUAUUUCUCUCACAAUUCAAAUAGACUUAGCUGUGAGAUAGGGCAAGUCCUCAAAUAACACCAUUUCAUUCAAAGUCAUUUUAUGAUCACUUUGAUGAGAAGAAAAUCACUAAUUCUUGGUCAUGGCCACUGUCUGUGUGGAGUCUACAUGUUCUCUGCAUGUGUACAUGGGUUUUCUCUGGGUAGUUUGGUUUCCUUCCACAUCCCAAGGAAGUUCACAUGAGGUUCACUGGUGUGUCUAAAUGGUUCCAAUGUGAGUGAGUGUUGGGGUGUGUGUGGGUGCCCCCUGCAGUGAGAUAG